rnacentral:lncRNA from 1 species
UAGGAUGUGGAGCGGAUUUCAUACAUCGUAUUAUUUAGGUGACUACUCCUAAAACGUUCUUGUGAAGUUUACAAGCCCCAAUGGGUAUCAAAUAAAUAUGUCUUUUGUUUUAAUUAUGUGGCCAUUAUCCGGACAAAGUUGGGUGACCUUGAAUAAGAAAACCUUCUGCUGCAGCCUUAGAUUCUCUUGAGUUUAUGGUAGCAAAUAGAUAGUGCUGCGGUGACACCUUUUGAGCUUUUGACUGCAAGUAGUCAUUGAAGUCGAGAAAAGUUAAGCAACUGAUCAGUUAACUUUAGUCUUACCUUGUACUUCUCUUUUUGAGAUUUUUCUAUUAGUAUUAUUUAUAAAUAAGCCAUCAAGUACUUUGCUGGUGGUAUAUUAGCUUAAAAAUGAGGGAUGGCCUUGGCUCAGCGGUGAGCUUGCUUACCGUGGUGUGCCAGGGUCGGGGGUUCGAAACGCCCCUCCAGCGAAGCUGGGGUGAGGGCGCGUAGGUCAGGCCCGGAGUGGUCCCCCCCUCCCCGACACCUACGGAGUAGGUAUGAACCGGGUCGUCCCCUAUAUUAGCUUAAAAAUGGUCUAGUCUUAUCUCUACCAGUCAAAAAAUUUUAGUCUUACCUUUGUAACCACACACGUUCAGCUAGUCUUAUUAUCUAGUAUUCUCGUCAAGUUACGCCACGUAAUGUGAGAGUAUAAUUUGUUGAGUAGAUAGGCUUGCAUAAUGUUAUGCUAGUUGAUAUAUGAUGAUAUUUGUGUAUUGGUAUCAAAUAAAUAUGUCUUUUGUUUUAAUUAUGUGGCCAUUAUCCGGACAAAGUUGGGUGACCUUGAAUAAGAAAACCUUCUGCUGCAGCCUUAGAUUCUCUUGAGUUUAUGGUAGCAAAUAGAUAGUGCUGCGGUGACACCUUUUGAGCUUUUGACUGCAAGUAGUCAUUGAAGUCGAGAAAAGUUAAGCAACUGAUCAGUUAACUUUAGUCUUACCUUGUACUUCUCUUUUUGAGAUUUUUCUAUUAGUAUUAUUUAUAAAUAAGCCAUCAAGUACUUUGCUGGUGGUAUAUUAGCUUAAAAAUGAGGGAUGGCCUUGGCUCAGCGGUGAGCUUGCUUACCGUGGUGUGCCAGGGUCGGGGGUUCGAAACGCCCCUCCAGCGAAGCUGGGGUGAGGGCGCGUAGGUCAGGCCCGGAGUGGUCCCCCCCUCCCCGACACCUACGGAGUAGGUAUGAACCGGGUCGUCCCCUAUAUUAGCUUAAAAAUGGUCUAGUCUUAUCUCUACCAGUCAAAAAAUUUUAGUCUUACCUUUGUAACCACACACGUUCAGCUAGUCUUAUUAUCUAGUAUUCUCGUCAAGUUACGCCACGUAAUGUGAGAGUAUAAUUUGUUGAGUAGAUAGGCUUGCAUAAUGUUAUGCUAGUUGAUAUAUGAUGAUAUUUGUGU